UAGGUUGUGGCACCUCUGUGAAGGCAGCCUGUCAGUUUUCAUCAUGAAGAUGUUACUACACAGGAGAAGGAAAUCUUCAAGAAUGACCAAAAUGGCUCAUCAAGGUUGGAAGGGCGGCUCAAGCUAUUACGUGCAGUCCUAUAGGAAUUUCCCUCUAAGAGCAGUGGCUGAGAGCAGUGGAUUUGGAUGAGAGGGAAGAAGGAUGAAAAGAAAGAUGUUGAGGAGGAUGUCUCUUCAUUAAUGUUACCAAUGUGGUAAGCCUUUCUUUCCCUUCUGAUUAGCAGAGAUGUUGCUGCAAAGGUGGUAUGCAGCUUUGAUUCUCGCAGAAAAAUUCACUGAUUACCUCUGGGCCAUUGGCAGUUCUUGUCUGCUAAGUCUAUAAAGUUAUCUAUGUCUAGACACUGUAAACGGAUGUAAUCAGUUGGAGUCAGUGUGCAGAUGGUUACAUAGAACUGAUGGGGUACAGUCCUGUACUGCUGUGAUAUUAAUAAAAAUGUCAUGCAGAGUAUAGUCUGGCA
rnacentral:lncRNA from 1 species